rnacentral:rRNA from 1 species
UGCAAGUCGAACGGACUUAAUCGAAAUAUUUAUAUUUUGAAGCGGUUAGUGGCGGACUGGUGAGUAACGCGUAAGGAACCUGCCUAUUAGAGGGGAAUAACAGUGAGAAAUCAUUGCUAAUACCGCAUAUGCCAUAGAUAUCACAUGAUAACAGUGGGAAAGGAGCAAUCCGCUAAUAGAUGGUCUUGCGUCUGAUUAGAUAGUUGGUGGGGUAACGGCCUACCAAGUCGACGAUCAGUAGCCGGACUGAGAGGUUGAACGGCCACAUUGGGACUGAGAUACGGCCCAGACUCCUACGGGAGGCAGCAGUCGGGAAUAUUGCGCAAUGGAGGAAACUCUGACGCAGUGACGCCGCGUAUAGGAAGAAGGUUUUCGGAUUGUAAACUAUUGUCGUUAGGGAAGAGAAAGGACAGUACCUAAGGAGGAAGCUCCGGCUAACUACGUGCCAGCAGCCGCGGUAAUACGUAGGGAGCGAGCGUUAUCCGGAAUUAUUGGGUGUAAAGGGUGCGUAGACGGGAGAACAAGUUAGUUGUGAAAUACCUCGGCUCAACUGAGGAACUGCAACUAAAACUGUACUUCUUGAGUGCAGGAGAGGUAAGUGGAAUUCCUAGUGUAGCGGUGAAAUGCGUAGAUAUUAGGAGGAACACCAGUGGCGAAGGCGACUUACUGGACUGUAACUGACGUUGAGGCACGAAAGUGUGGGGAGCAAACAGGAUUAGAUACCCUGG